AGUCGAGCGGAACGAUGGUAGCUUGCUACCAGGCGUCGAGCGGCGGACGGGUGAGUAACGCGUGAGAAUCUGCCCAUUUGUGGGGGAUAACUCGGGGAAACUCGAGCUAAUACCGCAUAAUCCCUACGGGGGAAAGCAGGGGACCUUCGGGCCUUGUGCAGAUGGAUGAGCUCGCGUCGGAUUAGCUUGUUGGUGAGGUAAAGGCUCACCAAGGCGACGAUCCGUAGCUGGUCUGAGAGGAUGAUCAGCCACACCGGGACUGAGACACGGCCCGGACUCCUACGGGAGGCAGCAGUGGGGAAUCUUGGACAAUGGGGGCAACCCUGAUCCAGCCAUGCCGCGUGUGUGAAGAAGGCCUUCGGGUUGUAAAGCACUUUCAGUAGGGAGGAAGGCUUACCGCUAAUAACGGUGAGUACUUGACGUUACCUACAGAAGAAGCACCGGCUAAUUUCGUGCCAGCAGCCGCGGUAAUACGGAGGGUGCAAGCGUUAAUCGGAAUUACUGGGCGUAAAGCGCGCGUAGGCGGAUGAUUAAGUCAGAUGUGAAAGCCCCGGGCUCAACCUGGGAACUGCAUUUGAGACUGGUCGUCUAGAGUACAGAAGAGGGGGGUGGAAUUCCAGGUGUAGCGGUGAAAUGCGUAGAGAUCUGGAGGAACAUCAGUGGCGAAGGCGACCCCCUGGGCUGAUACUGACGCUGAGGUGCGAAAGCGUGGGUAGCGAACAGGAUUAGAUACCCUGGUAGUCCACGCCGUAAACGAUGUCUAUUAGCUGUUGGGUAUAUUAAGAUACUUAGUGGCGCAGCAAACGCGAUAAAUAGACCGCCUGGGGAGUACGGCCGCAAGGUUAAAA
rnacentral:rRNA from 1 species